CUUAAGUGGCGAACGGGUGAGUAACGCGUGAGUAACCUGCCCUGGAGUGGGGGACAACAGUUGGAAACGAUUGCUAAUACCGCAUAAGCCCACGGAUCCGCAUGGAUCUGCGGGAAAAGGAUUUAUUCGCUUCAGGAUGGACUCGCGUCCAAUUAGCUAGUUGGUGAGGUAACGGCCCACCAAGGCGACGAUUGGUAGCCGGACUGAGAGGUUGAACGGCCACAUUGGGACUGAGACACGGCCCAGACUCCUACGGGAGGCAGCAUG
rnacentral:rRNA from 1 species